GCUUUCCUUCUGACUGAAGCAGGAGCCUACAGUUACAAAGGUUGUGAUCCAAAUAUUCCUGCUUCAAAUAUUAUAUCUGACCACUGCAGAAAGCAUGUUUCCAGGAUGAAGCACUGUCGAGUUGAUACUUCUCAUGCAUUGAAAUCUUCCCCAUGGUUUAGGUUUCCUUAUCCCUUACAAUGGGGUACUCCUGUCUUUGAGUGGAAAAUGGCCCUUGUUAUGUGUGUGGUGUCCAUUAUCGCAUCUGUGGAUUCGGUUGGAUCAUAUCAUGCGUCAUCAUUGUUGGUGGCAUCUAGACCUCCAACCAGAGGUGUUCUUAGUAGAGGGAUUGGCCUUGAAGGGCUUUCUAGUGUCUUGGCUGGUCUUUGGGGUACUGGAACUGGCUCCACAACUCUAACUGAGAAUGUGCAUACUAUUGCUGUG
rnacentral:misc_RNA from 1 species